CAAUAGCGUAUAUUAAAGUUGUUGCAGUUAAAAAGCUCGUAGUUGGAUUUCUGGUGAGAUGGAUUAUGUCUAGGUCGAAAGAUCUUGUUCAUGGUUCGUUUUGCCCUUCUUGUCAGGAACCCGCUGAGAUUCGCGUCUUGUCGGUGGAAUGGCAUCGUUUACUGUGAAAAAAUUAGAGUGUUCAAAGCAGGCAUCGCCGUUGAAUACAUUAGCAUGGAAUAAUAAGAUAAGACUUUGGUGGUCUAUUUUGUUGGUUUGCACGCCAAAGUAAUGAUUAAUAGGGAUAGUUGGGGGUAAUCGUAUUCUAUUGCUAGAGGUGAAAUUCUUAAAUUUAUGGAAGACGAACUACUGCGAAAGCAUUUACCAAGGAUGUUUUCAUUAA
rnacentral:rRNA from 1 species